rnacentral:rRNA from 1 species
CAGUAGCCGCGGUAAUACGGAGGGGGCUAGCGUUGUUCGGAAUUACUGGGCGUAAAGCGUACGUAGGCGGCUUUGUAAGUUAGAGGUGAAAGCCUGGUGCUCAACACCAGAACUGCCUUUAAGACUGCAUCGCUUGAACGUCGGAGAGGUGAGUGGAAUUCCGAGUGUAGAGGUGAAAUUCGUAGAUAUUCGGAAGAACACCAGUGGCGAAGGCGGCUCACUGGACGACUGUUGACGCUGAGGUACGAAAGCGUGGGGAGCAAACAGGAUUAGAUACCCGCGUAGUCCCUGUCUCUUAUAA